CGACCGGCGCACGGGUGAGUAACACGUAUCCAACCUGCCGAUAACUCGGGGAUAGCCUUUCGAAAGAAAGAUUAAUAUCCGAUAGCAUAUCAAGAUCGCAUGAUCUUGAUAUUAAAGAAUUUCGGUUAUCGAUGGGGAUGCGUUCCAUUGGUUAGUUGGCGGGGUAACGGCCCACCAAGACGACGAUGGAUAGGGGUUCUGAGAGGAAGGUCCCCCACAUUGGAACUGAGACACGGUCCAAACUCCUACGGAAGGCAGCAG
rnacentral:rRNA from 1 species